rnacentral:rRNA from 1 species
AUUGAACGCCGGCGGCAUGCCUUACACAUGCAAGUCGAACGGUAACGGGCCUUCGGGUGCCGACGAGUGGCGAACGGGUGAGUAAUGUAUCGGAACGUACCUUUCAGUGGGGGAUAACGUAGCGAAAGUUACGCUAAUACCGCAUAUUCUGUGAGCAGGAAAGCAGGGGAUCGCAGGACCUUGCGCUGAUUGAGCGGCCGAUAUCAGAUUAGCUAGUUGGUGAGGUAAAGGCUCACCAAGGCGACGAUCUGUAGCGGGUCUGAGAGGAUGAUCCGCCACACUGGAACUGAGACACGGUCCAGACUCCUACGGGAGGCAGCAGUGGGGAAUUUUGGACAAUGGGGGCAACCCUGAUCCAGCCAUGCCGCGUGAGUGAAGAAGGCCUUCGGGUUGUAAAGCUCUUUCGGCCGGGAAGAAAUCGUAUGGGUUAAUACCCUGUGCGGAUGACGGUACCGGCAUAAGAAGCACCGGCUAACUACGUGCCAGCCGCCGCUGUAACAC